rnacentral:rRNA from 1 species
AUUGAACGCUGGCGGCAGGCCUAACACAUGCAAGUCGAGCGGAUGAAGGGAGCUUGCUCCUGGAUUCAGCGGCGGACGGGUGAGUAAUGCCUAGGAAUCUGCCUGGUAGUGGGGGAUAACGUCCGGAAACGGGCGCUAAUACCGCAUACGUCCUGAGGGAGAAAGUGGGGGAUCUUCGGACCUCACGCUAUCAGAUGAGCCUAGGUCGGAUUAGCUAGUUGGUGGGGUAAGGGCCUACCAAGGCGACGAUCCGUAACUGGUCUGAGAGGAUGAUCAGUCACACUGGAACUGAGACACGGUCCAGACUCCUACGGGAGGCAGCAGUGGGGAAUAUUGGACAAUGGGCGAAAGCCUGAUCCAGCCAUGCCGCGUGUGUGAAGAAGGUCUUCGGAUUGUAAAGCACUUUAAGCUGGGAGGAAGGGCAGUAAGUUAAUACCUUGCUGUUUUGACGUUACCAACAGAAUAAGCACCGGCUAACUUCGUG